CAGCAGCCACGGGAACACAGAGGGUGCAAGCGUUAAUCGGAAUUACUGGGCGUAAAGCGCGCGUAGGUGGUUUGUUAAGUUGGAUGUGAAAGCCCCGGGCUCAACCUGGGAACUGCAUCCAAAACUGGCAAGCUAGAGUACGGUAGAGGGUGGUGGAAUUUCCUGUGUAGCGGUGAAAUGCGUAGAUAUAGGAAGGAACACCAGUGGCGAAGGCGACCACCUGGACUGAUACUGACACUGAGGUGCGAAAGCGUGGGGAGCAAACAGGAUUAGAUACCCGAGUAGUCCCUGUCUCUUAUAA
rnacentral:rRNA from 1 species